rnacentral:pre_miRNA from 1 species
CAAAUACGCCCUCCGUUUUGAAUUACUUGUCGCACGUAUGGAUGUAUCUAGAUGUAUUUUAGUUCUAGAUACAUCAAUUUCAGCGACGAGUAAUUUGGAACAAAGGGAGUACUAG